GCUACAGUGGUGUAAUGGUUAGCACAUCUGCCUAGUAAGUAAGAGAUCUGGGUUAAAGUCCCAGCUGCAGCA